GUGAGCCGUAUGAUGGGCAACUACCUUCUGCGGUUCGGAGAGGACUCAGCGUUUAGUUACUACCACCUUGGUUUCGGAGUGGACCCUUUCACUCUAU
rfam:Triticum urartu cultivar G1812 contig1242464, whole genome shotgun sequence.